GUUAACUCGAUGACGGGAGCAAAGGAACAAACGCAAUGUAUUCACAGAGAGCUGGGGUUGCUGGAAGCCCAGAAGUACAUUUUGUUCUGACAUCUUCCCUGAGUGCCACGUUGAACGGCGAAUGCCAAGUAGGCGUGGUCAGGUACAGAGUAUGUGCCUGUUAUCAAGGAGACUGAAGAUCAGUCUCAUAAGGUAGUAUUCGUGAGGAUGCUAUAAAACCUGGGUGGUACCGUGAAAAGAUGGCUCUUUUCUCCCCAAUA
rnacentral:ncRNA from 1 species